AAGUCAGAUGUGAAAGCCUCCUGUUCAACGGGAGAAUUGCAUCUGAAACUGCAGAUCUUGAGUGUAGGAGGGGAGAAUGGAACUUCUGGUGGAGCGGUGAAAUGCGUAGAUAUCAGAAGGAACGCCGGCGGCGAAAGCGAUUCUCUGGCCUAUUACUGACACUCAGUGUGCGAAAGCUAGGGGAGCAAACGGGAUUAGAUACCCCGGUAGUCCUAGCCGUAAACGAUGGGCACUAAGUAGAGGGAAUUACCGAUAUUCUCUCUGCCGUAGCUAACGCAUUAAGUGCCCCGCCUGGGGAGUACGGCCGCAAGGCUAAAACUCAAAAGAAUUGACGGGGGCUCGCACAAGCGGUGGAGCAUGUGGCUUAAUUCGAUGCAACGCGAAAAACCUUACCGGGGCUUGACAUGGUAGAAGUAGGGACCCGAAAGGGUAACGAACGGUAUCCAGUCCGUAGCUAUUACAGGUGUUGCAUGGCUGUCGUCAGCUCGUGUCGUGAGACGUUGGGUUAAGUCCCCUAACGAGCGAAACCCUUGUUUUUAGUUGCCAGCGGGUUAUGCCGGGCGCUCUAGAAAGACUGCCGUCGUCAAGACGGAGGAAGGUGGGGAUGACGUCAAGUCAUCAUGGCCCUUAUGCCCCGGGCUGCACACGUGCUACAAUGGUCGGUACAAACGGAAGCGAAG
rnacentral:rRNA from 1 species